UAGUGGUGGUAGAACUUGUACCGUCUUCAAAAUGAUCCAGUGAUAAAAGGCUGGGGAUAGUCAUAGGUUCGUAUCUUCCAGGAUCAACAUAAUCUUUAAAUGAAAGGACAGUGGUUAGGCCUCUAUAUUUGACCACUUGAUUUCUGUACCACUGCUUUUUAUAACAUUCAAAGAGAAAACACCGGAGCUCAACCGAUUUAUGAUAAGUCGCUAUAAUCCAACGAUAUGAGACUUUCACAGUCAUCUCGAUAUCUGUAUUUAUAUUUAUAUAUAACAACUAGUCUGUCAGAGCUGAAACAUGAUGCUUACACAACUGUUCCUUGUCUCUCCCCCCUCUAGCCUGAAAAUGAUUCGCUACCUCAUAUCGAUAUUGGCAUCGGGCACAAAAAUCCACAUCAGUCGGGCUCCAGAAAACACUGACUACAAACUGAUGUCUACUCUGAUUUUCAUGCACGGGCUUUUUUUGAAACAUCUUAACUGCUGAUGUAAGGGAAGCUCCUAUACCGUUUCUUGCAGUGUGAUUGGAUGCAGCUGUGGAACCAUUGCGCAGAGCAGAGUGAGGGUGACAUGCACACAGAGAGGACAGCACGACGAAGAGGAGGAAGUGGAGGAAGAACUGUUCCCCCUCCCGAGUCAUCAUCAUCAUCUGUGGACUGAGACAAACCAGUGAGUGAGCGAGAGAAGCCCUGUCUGCACAAAGAAGGAGAAGGACACCCGGCUUUUCACGAGCCUCCUCUUUCCUCUGCCAUUUGUGUUUUUCUUCUCUGCAUCAGUGGGUUUUGGAAAACGUCUUGACCAUUUGGCUCCAUUCACACGUUGCCUCUCUUUCUGGCACCUACGCCUGUGAGAGGAUAUUUCUUGAGAUGAGCUAGAAGUCGGCCAGAGAGCAGCCGGGUCAAGAAUGAGGUUGUGUAAUCGCCAAAAGCACACAGAAGACCUGUCAUCACAUCGAGGAGAGCAGCAGGGCCGCACUGCGUUCGAGGGGGAGGAUGUUUGACGAAGGCUGCGAGUCACACAACGCCCCCCCCCCUUAACAUGAAGUCGAUCUCCUGAGUCUUGUGAUGGCAUUACAGCCUGUAGAUGCUUCUCAAAGGACGAAAAGUGACCGUUUUCAAGAAGGGAGACCAUUUUAUAUUUGGUCCCGUCUCUGUAGAUCCGGACAUUGUACUUCCAAAGUGGAACACAAAUAGAAAAGUAAAAGAAAAUGAUCUAUUGUUGUCUUUCACACAUGAAAACUGAGAUGUUUUGACUCUGCUGAACCCAAACUAAAGAAUCCUAGUCGCCACAGAGUCCCCUGACAUUCAAUAUGUGAUUGAACAUUUCUUAACUGGGUAACAAAUCUUUUAAGAUCUAGUUGUGAAAGCCCCUGAAGAACAUGGGGAGAUUUCAACACAGACACAACCAGCAAAGUCACAAAAAUGCCACAGAAAUAGUCUGGAUGCUUAAACAGAUGUGUUUAGUACAGUGUUGCUGCUUAUAUGUUGUGACUGAAAGUGUGCUACUGAUUAACUGAGAGCACAUGAAACUUCAUGUUCACCACAUUGUAUAGUAAUUCAUCAAGAGAUGUCAGCCCAGCAAUUUUGACAUUCAUGGUUUAUCAUUCAGCCAUUUCUUAUGUUGGGAAAGUGAACUUUUGGACCCCACUUUAUUAAAUUGCUCUUCCUGUUGUGUCAGUGUUUGACUAAUGGGCUUUAGAUGCAGCAUGAAGAUAAUCAUUAACUUACAUUCCUCCUGCUGCCUUUUCUGGUUGGAUUGGAAAACUACGUGCGCCUGCCUGGACUGGCCCGGUGGGACUCACCGUGAGUCAUCCAUCCAGAAAAUGACACAACUACCGGCUCUCAAGCUGCCUGCCUGUUUGAACACUCAUCUCCUCAGAUGUGAGCAAUAUCACCGACUGACUCAACAAGCAGCUCUGCGGCCGCACUCAGGAGCAAGAGGCAGUUUCAGUACGUGACGUAAGCCAUCACACCCAGCAAUUUAAGACCGGAGUCAGUGAAUUAGUUGCCUAAAGUUAGAAGGAAUCAAAGCGUAUGUGGAUCACAGAAGGGAACACAUCACAUGGCAGUAAAAAAAAGUUGUUUAUAGAGGUUGUAUAUUCUAAAGCUCACAGGGCCUCGAAUGCAAAGAAGUGGCAAACUGUGUUUAUUCCACUAUAGAGCAUGUGUGCACUUUCUUUUUUCCCCACAACAAGUAUCCAGCAGGAGGGUCUCAGGUUUCAGCCCCUCUCCCUUUCACAACACCCAGACCAUAAAUCAUAAACACCAUGCAUCUCCGGGUGAGGUGUCACAGCUCCCUGGCUCUCAGUUUGGGGACUUCUACAGUCAGUAGAUCAUGCAGCAGGGAUAUAUUUUUCACACUUUUUGUGACAAUGUGCAGAGCUCUGGUUUAGCCUGUCAUUUCCAGCUUCACAGCACAGAGGGUGGAGAGGAGGGGGCAG